GCCAGAGUGGUGUAGUGGUUUGAACAUUAGACUAUGACUCCGGAUACCAGGGUUCGAAUCCCAGCUUAGCCA